GUUGCCCAGACUGGUCUCAAACUUCUGGGCUCAUGUGAUCCUCCCACCUCAGGCUCCCAAAAUGCUGGGAUUACCAGCAUGAGCCACCGGGCCAGCCUGACAAAACUUCUCAACAGGGCCUACAAUGCCCAGGGGCAUGGUUUUGCCCCCUUCCUACUGCAUAUAUAUGCAUCUUUCUGGCCUUAAAGAGAGUCUUUCUCCAGUCCAAGGCUAAUCCCUCUAUUUGUAUGACCCUGAACAAGUUCCCUGCACUCAGCCUGGGUGACAGAGUGAGACUGUCUCAAAAAACAAAACAAAAAACUAGCAACCUCACCCACACCCUCUCACAUCACUUUUAUUUUCUAAAUAGUACUUCUCACUCUUAUUUGUUAUUCUCUCCUUCCUUCACUAAAUUCUAAGCACUUUGAGGGAAGGGGCUGUUUUAUUCAUUGCUGUAUCUAGAACAAGCUUGUCCAACCUGUGGCCCACAGGCCACAUGCGGCCCAGGAUGGCUUUGAAUGCGGCUCAACACAAAUUCGUAAACUUUCUUAAAACAUUAUGAGGACCAAGAAGUAGGUUCUCUGCUCCUUCUGGGAUCUCCGCCUGGUUCAGCCCGCCUGCUUCCACUCCUGCCUCCACCAUGUCCAUCAGGGUGACCCAGAAGUCCUACAAGGUGUCCACCUCUGGCCCCCGAGGCUUCAGCAGCCACUCCUACAUGAGCGGGCCCGGUGCCUGCAUCAGCUCCUUGAGCUUCUCCCGAGUGGGCAGCCGCAGCUUCCAGGGUGGCCUGGGCAGAGGCUAUGGUGGGGCCAGCGGCAUGGAGGCAUCACCGCCGUCAUGGUCAACCAGAGCCUGCUGAGCCCCCUUAACCUGGUGGUGGACCCCAAUAUCCAGGCCGUGUGCACCAAGGAGGAGCAGAUCAAGACCUUCAACAACAAGUUUGCCUCCUUCAUAGACAAGGUGCAGUACCUGAAGCAGCAGAACAAGAUGCUGGAGACCAAGUGGAGCCUCCUGUAGCAGCAUAAGAUGGCUCGGAGCAACAUGGACAACAUGUUGGAGAACUACAUCAACAACCUUAGGCGGCAGCUGGAGACUCUGGGCCAGCAGAAGCUGAAGCUGGAGGCAGAGCUUUGCAACAUGCAGGGGGUGGUGGAGGACUUCAAGAACAACUAUGAGGAUGAGCUCAAUACGCGUACAUACAGAGAUGGAGAAUGAAUUUGUCCUCAUCAAGAAGGAUGUGGAUGAAACUUAUACGAACAAGGUAGAGCUAGAGUCUCGCCUGGAAGGGCUUACUGAUGAGAUCAACUUCCUCAGGCAGCUCUAUGAAGAGGAGAUCCAGGAGCUGCAGUCCCAGAUCUCAGACACAUCUGUGGUGCUGUCCAUGGACAACAGCUACUCCCUGGACAUGGACAGCAUCAUUGCUGAGGUCAAGGCGCAUUAUGAGGAGACCGCCAACCGCAACCAGGCCGAGGCUGAGGGCAUGUACCAGAUCAAGUAUGAGGAGUUGCAGACGCUGGCUGGGAAGCACGGGGAUGACCUGCGGUGUCCAAAGACUGAGAACUCUCAGACGAACUGGAACAUCAGCCGGUUCCGGGCUGAGAUUGAGGGUCUUAAAGGCCAGAGGGCUUCCCUGGAGGCCGCCAUCGCAGAUCCUGAGCAGCCCGGGGAGCUGGCCGUUAAGGAUGCCAACGACAAGCUGUCCGAGCUGGAGGCAGCCCUGCAGCAGGCCAAACAGGACCUGGUGUGGCAGCUGCGUGAGUACCCAGAGCUGAUGAACGCCAAGCUGGCCCUGGACAUUGAGAUCGCCACCUACAGGAAGCUGCUGGAGGGUGAGGAGAGCCGGCUGGAGUCUGGGAUGCAGAACAUGAGUACCAUAUGCAGACCACCAGCGGCUAUGCAGGUGGUCUGAGCUUGGCCUAUGGGGACCUCACAAGACUCAGCCUCGGCUACGGCACAGGCUCCAGCUCCUUCAGCUGCACCAGCUCCAUCAGGGCCAUGGUUGUGAAGAAGAUCGAGACCCACGAUGAGAAGCUGGUGUCUGAGUCCUCUGAUGUCCUGCCCAAGUGAACAGCUGCAGCAGCCCCUAGAGCCCAGGAGGGAGGCUGCUGUGCAGGGGAGCACAGGGAACAGGAGACCCACCUGAGGCUCAGCCCUAGCCCUCAGUUCUCCUGCAGGGGAGUUUACUGCCUGGGGACCCCCCUUGUCCAUGCCUCCAGCUACAAAACAAUUCAAUUGCCUUUUUUUUGGUCCAAAAUAAAACCUCAGCUAGCUCUGC